AUUGAGGGAAGGAAAUUUUGGUUUAUUUUCCUUUGUGUAUUGUCUUUCCAAAUUAGAGAGAAAAUAAGAGUGCACAGAGGACAGUGGGAUGCUUAUAUGUAAAAUUACAUAACUGUCCUCCUAUUUCUAUUUCCCCUUUUUCUGUCUGACGAUGGCAAAUGAAACCCUCUAGCAAACAUUCAUUCUCAUCUACCUCUAAAAAACGAUUCAAGGAGUCCAUGCAUUUAUAGCUCAGGUCAAGGAUGCAGAUGGAAACAUAUGCCCUAACAUCCGUAUAGCUGACUGUGGUCAUAAAAUUGCCCUUGUUGGUGUUGAUAAUCCUCGAAUCUGGUUUAAUUAUCUGAGAAUACCCAGGGAGAAUCUGUUGAAUUCAGUUGCUAAUGUUUCAUUAGAUGGAAAAUAUCUGAGUGCAAUAAAAGACUCGAAUCAGGGACAGGUACAGAAGUUAUAGUCAGCGAAUUUUGCUAGUUGAUUCCCAGAUGAUAUUGCCUCAAUUUUGCUUAAAGAUAUAUGUGCAUUUUGUAGAACUUCUUUUUGAGAUGACAUGUAAUUUUGUUAUUUUGCUACUGUGUUUUGCACUUGGUGUUUUGUAAUAGAAAAGAAUUUUAAUUAUAUUUUAUAUUUAAUAAAGUAUUUAUAUGUGCAA